GAAGGUGUACUGUGAGGUAUGCUGGAGGUAUCAGAAGUGCGAAUGCUGACAUAAGUAACGAUAAAGCGGGUGAAAAGCCCGCUCGCCGGAAGACCAAGGGUUCCUGUCCAACGUUAAUCGGGGCAGGGUGAGUCGACCCCUAAGGCGAGGCCGAAAGGCGUAGUCGAUGGGAAACAGGUUAAUAUUCCUGUACUUGGUGUUACUGCGAAGGGGGGACGGAGAAGGCUAUGUUGGCCGGGCGACGGUUGUCCCGGUUUAAGCGUGUAGGCUGGUUUUCCAGGCAAAUCCGGAAAAUCAAGGCUGAGGCGUGAUGACGAGGCACUACGGUGCUGAAGCAACAAAUGCCCUGCUUCCAGGAAAAGCCUCUAAGCAUCAGGUAACAUCAAAUCGUACCCCAAACCGACACAGGUGGUCAGGUAGAGAAUACCAAGGCGCUUGAGAGAACUCGGGUGAAGGAACUAGGCAAAAUGGUGCCGUAACUUCGGGAGAAGGCACGCUGAUAUGUAGGUGAAGCGACUUGCUCGUGGAGCUGAAAUCAGUCGAAGAUACCAGCUGGCUGCAACUGUUUAUUAAAAACACAGCACUGUGCAAACACGAAAGUGGACGUAUACGGUGUGACGCCUGCCCGGUGCCGGAAGGUUAAUUGAUGGGGUCAGCGCAAGCGAAGCUCUUGAUCGAAGCCCCGGUAAACGGCGGCCGUAACUAUAACGGUCCUAAGGUAGCGAAAUUCCUUGUCGGGUAAGUUCCGACCUGCACGAAUGGCGUAAUGAUGGCCAGGCUGUCUCCACCCGAGACUCAGUGAAAUUGAACUCGCUGUGAAGAUGCAGUGUACCCGCGGCAAGACGGAAAGACCCCGUGAACCUUUACUAUAGCUUGACACUGAACAUUGAGCCUUGAUGUGUAGGAUAGGUGGGAGGCUUUGAAGUGUGGACGCCAGUCUGCAUGGAGCCGACCUUGAAAUACCACCCUUUAAUGUUUGAUGUUCUAACGUUGACCCGUAAUCCGGGUUGCGGACAGUGUCUGGUGGGUAGUUUGACUGGGGCGGUCUCCUCCUAAAGAGUAACGGAGGAGCACGAAGGUUGGCUAAUCCUGGUCGGACAUCAGGAGGUUAGUGCAAUGGCAUAAGCCAGCUUGACUGCGAGCGUGACGGCGCGAGCAGGUGCGAAAGCAGGUCAUAGUGAUCCGGUGGUUCUGAAUGGAAGGGCCAUCGCUCAACGGAUAAAAGGUACUCCGGGGAUAACAGGCUGAUACCGCCCAAGAGUUCAUAUCGACGGCGGUGUUUGGCACCUCGAUGUCGGCUCAUCACAUCCUGGGGCUGAAGUAGGUCCCAAGGGUAUGGCUGUUCGCCAUUUAAAGUGGUACGCGAGCUGGGUUUAGAACGUCGUGAGACAGUUCGGUCCCUAUCUGCCGUGGGCGCUGGAGAACUGAGGGGGGCUGCUCCUAGUACGAGAGGACCGGAGUGGACGCAUCACUGGUGUUCGGGUUGUCAUGCCAAUGGCACUGCCCGGUAGCUAAAUGCGGAAGAGAUAAGUGCUGAAAGCAUCUAAGCACGAAACUUGCCCCGAGAUGAGUUCUCCCUGACCCUUUAAGGGUCCUGAAGGAACGUUGAAGACGACGACGUUGAUAGGCCGGGUGUGUAAGCGCAGCGAUGCGUUGAGCUAACCGGUACUAAUGAACCGUGAGGCUUAACCUUACAACGCCGAAGCUGUU
rnacentral:rRNA from 1 species